rnacentral:rRNA from 1 species
AGUGAACGCUGGCGGUAGGCCUAACACAUGCAAGUCGAACGGCAGCACAGUAAGAGCUUGCUCUUACGGGUGGCGAGUGGCGGACGGGUGAGGAAUACAUCGGAAUCUACUUUUUCGUGGAGGAUAACGUAGGGAAACUUACGCUAAUACCGCAUACGACGUACGGGUGAAAGCAGGGGAUCUUCGGACCUUGCGCGAUUGAAUGAGCCGAUGUCGGAUUAGCUAGUUGGCGUGGUAAAGGCCCACCAAGGCGACGAUCCGUAGCUGGGCUGAGAGGAUGAUCAGCCACACUGGAACUGAGACACGGUCCAGACUCCUACGGGAGGCAGCAGUGGGGAAUAUUGGACAAUGGGCGCAAGCCUGAUCCAGCCAUACCGCGUGGGUGAAGAAGGCCUUCGGGUUGUAAAGCCCUUUUGUUGGGAAAGAAAAGCAGCAGGUUAAUACCCCGCUGUUCUGACGGUACCCAAAGAAUAAGCACCGGCUAACUUCGUG